rnacentral:rRNA from 1 species
CAACCCUUGACAUCCUUAUUGCGGUUACGAGAGAUCGUUUCCUUCAGUUUGGCGGGAUCAGUGACAGGUGCUGCAUGGCUGUCGUCAGCUCGUGUCGUGAGAUGUUCGGUUAAGUCCGGCAACGAGCGCAACCCACAUCCCUAGUUGCCAGCAGUUCGGCUGGGCACUCUAUGGAAACUGCCCGUGAUAAGCGGGAGGAAGGUGUGGAUGACGUCAAGUCCUCAUGGCCCUUACGGGUUGGGCUACACACGUGCUACAAUGGUGGUGACAGUGGGUUAAUCCCCAAAAGCCAUCUCAGUUCGGAUUGUCGUCUGCAACUCGACGGCAUGAAGUCGGAAUCGCUAGUAAUCGCG